rnacentral:lncRNA from 1 species
CAUUCCUUAGCAUGAGUCAAUGCCUGCACUGGAGAGAAAGCACUGAAGAGAAAGCACACUGCUCUGGACAUGGGCUCUAAAAUGGGUUUCUGCACAUGGAUCCAGAUGCACACAUGCUGGAGAAAGCAGCAUCAUGUCAUCCCAAACCAGAGGAAGGCAGGGGUGAAUCACAAUCC